rnacentral:rRNA from 1 species
CGGUUGAUCCUGCCGGAGGCCAUUGCUAUCGGAGUCCGAUUUAGCCAUGCUAGUCGUGCGAGUUCAGACUCGCGGCACCGAGCUCAGUAACACGUGGCCAAACUACCCUACAGAGACGGAUACCCUCGGGAAACUGAGGUUAACCCGUCAUACCGAUCUCAGGCUUGAAUCGCAGAGAUCACAAAACGCCCCGGCGCUGUAGGAUGUGGCUGCGGUUGAUUAGGUAGACGGUGGGGUAACGGCCCACCGUGCCCAUAAUCAGUACAGGUUGUGAGAGCAAGAACCUGGAGACGGAAUCUGAGACAAGAUUCCGGGCCCUACGGGGCGCAGCAGGCGCGAAACCUUUACACUGCACGCACGUGCGAUAAGGGGACUCCGAGUGCGAGGGCAUAUCGUCCUCGCUUUCGUGUACCGUAGGGUGGUACACCAACAAGGGCUGGGCAAGACCGGUGCCAGCCGCCGCGGUAAUACCGGCAGCCCGAGUGAUGGCCGAUCUUAUUGGGCCUAAAGCGUCCGUAGCUGGCUGCGCAAGUCCGUCGGGAAAUCCACUCGCCCAACGAGUGGGCGUCCGACGGAAACUGCACAGCUUGGGACCGGAAGGCUCGAAGGGUACGUUCGGGGUAGGAGUGAAAUCCCAUAAUCCCGCACGGACUACCGAUGGCGAAAGCACUUCGAGAAAACGGAUCCGACAGCGAGGGACGAAAGCCAGGGUCUCCAACCGGAUUAGAUACCCGGGUAGUC